rnacentral:rRNA from 1 species
UACGGAGGGUGCAAGCGUUAUCCGGAUUCACUGGGUUUAAAGGGCGCGUAGGCGGUCAGCACAAGUCAGUUGUGAAAUCUCCGGGCUUAACUCGGAAAGGUCAACUGAUACUGUGCGACUAGAGUGCAGAAGGGGCAACUGGAAUUCUCGGUGUAGCGGUGAAAUGCGUAGAUAUCGAGAGGAACACCUGCGGCGAAGGCGGGUUGCUGGGCUGACACUGACGCUGAUGCGCGAAAGCCAGGGGAGCGAACGGG